GCUGGGAUAGUUCGGUCUGUAAAGCAUGAGACUCUUAAUCUCAGGGACGUCGGAUCAAACCCCAUGUCGGGCA